UUGAACGCUGGCGGCAUGCCUUACACAUGCAAGUCGAACGGUAACGGGCCUUCGGGUGCCGACGAGUGGCGAACGGGUGAGUAAUACAUCGGAACGUGCCCGAUCGUGGGGGAUAACGAGGCGAAAGCUUUGCUAAUACCGCAUACGAUCUACGGAUGAAAGCAGGGGACCGCAAGGCCUUGCGCGGACGGAGCGGCCGAUGGCAGAUUGGGUAGUUGGUGGGAUAAAAGCUUACCAAGCCGACGAUCUGUAGCUGGUCUGAGAGGAUGAUCAGCCACACUGGGACUGAGACACGGCCCAGACUCCUACGGGAGGCAGCAGUGGGGAAUUUUGGACAAUGGGCGCAAGCCUGAUCCAGCCAUGCCGCGUGCAGGAUGAAGGCCUUCGGGUUGUAAACUGCUUUUGUACGGAACGAAAAGCCUUCUUUUAAUACAGGAGGGUCAUGACGGUACCGUAAGAAUAAGCACCGGCUAACUACGUG
rnacentral:rRNA from 1 species